rnacentral:rRNA from 1 species
GUAGUCAAGAUGAGAAUUCUAAGGUGAGCGAGCGAACUCUCGUUAAGGAACUCGGCAAAAUGACCCCGUAACUUCGGGAGAAGGGGUGCUCUUUAGGGUUAACGCCCAGAAGAGCCGCAGUGAAUAGGCCCAAGCGACUGUUUAUCAAAAACACAGGUCUCUGCUAAACCGUAAGGUGAUGUAUAGGGGCUGACGCCUGCCCGGUGCUGGAAGGUUAAGAGGAGUGGUUAGCUUCUGCGAAGCUACGAAUCGAAGCCCCAGUAAACGGCGGCCGUAACUAUAACGGUCCUAAGGUAGCGAAAUUCCUUGUCGGGUAAGUUCCGACCCGCACGAAAGGCGUAACGAUUUGGGCACUGUCUCAACGAGAGACUCGGUGAAAUCAUAGUACCUGUGAAGAUGCAGGUUACCCGCGACAGGACGGAAAGACCCCGUGGAGCUUUACUGUAGCCUGAUAUUGAAAUUCGGCACAGCUUGUACAGGAUAGGUAGGAGCCUUUGAAACGUGAGCGCUAGCUUACGUGGAGGCGCUGGUGGGAUACUACCCUAGCUGUG